AUGGCAAUUGUCCAUACGUACGGGAAGCCUGACAUCUUCUUGACCAUGACCUGCAACCCUAACUGGGAAGAGAUAAUGAAUGAGUUGUUUCCUGGUCAGACAGCGCAAGAUCGACCUGAUCUUGUGCGUGUGUUCCAUGGCAAGCUAGAGGCGAUGAAAGAGCUGUUGUUCAAUAAGAAUAUCCUGGGUGUUGUUGUCGCACAUGUAUACGUAGUCGAGUUCCAGAAGAAGGGCCUCCCCCACGCACACUUUUUGUUGAUCAUGGAUUCUGCCUAUAAGCUUGUCAUUCCGGAGCAGUACGAUCGACUCAUUUCUGCCGAGCUCCCAGACAAGCAGAAGUAUCCUGAACUACACGCCUUGGUAGUGAAACAUAUGAUGCACGGACCAUGCGGUGCUCUCAACCCCAAAAAUGUGUGCAUGGAUGCUACGUCUUGA
rnacentral:rRNA from 1 species